rnacentral:rRNA from 1 species
GACGGAGGAUGCAAGCGUUAUCCGGAAUUAUUGGGCGUAAAGGGUGCGUAGGCGGCUGUAUAAGUCAGAGGUGAAAGCCCGGAGCUUAACUUCGGAACUGCCUUUGAUACUGUAUAGCUUGAAAUAGGUUGAGGUCAGCGGAAUGUGGCAUGUAGCGGUGAAAUGCAUAGAUAUGCCAUAGAACACCAAUUGCGAAGGCAGCUGGCUGGACCUUAUUUGACGCUGAGGCACGAAAGCGUGGGGAGCGAACAGG